UGACGGUACCUGGAGAAAAAGCAACGGCUAACUACGUGCCAGCAGCCGCGGUAAUACGUAGGUUGCAAGCGUUGUCCGGAUUUACUGGGUGUAAAGGGCGUGUAGGCGGAGCUGCAAGUCAGAUGUGAAAUCCCGGGGCUCAACCCCGGAACUGCAUUUGAAACUGUAGUUCUUGAGUGCUGGAGAGGCUAACGGAAUUCCUAGUGUAGCGGUGAAAUGCGUAGAUAUUAGGAAGAACACCAGUGGCGAAGGCGGUUAGCUGGACAAUAACUGACGCUGAGGCGCGAAAGCGUGGGUAGCAAACAGGAUUAGAUACCCUG
rnacentral:rRNA from 1 species